UCCGAUGCGGGGCUGGAACGCACAAGCCGUGAGGUCAUGACCUGAGCCGAAGUCGGACGCUCAACCGACUGAGCCACCCAGGCGCCCCUGCUUGCGCUUCUGUUUAGUGAGCACUUGCUAUGUACCGCAUGAAUGCACAGAACAUAUUUCACAAUAAAUAUCACCUCUUGUUUUUGUCAUUAGGGUUCACACCGCCCCCCCCCCCGGGCCCACACACACACACGGGCCCACAUGGCCCUGUGUGAUCUAUCCUGAGCCACCUCCCUGACCACCUCCCACCCCCUCCCUCUCCUUCACAGGCUCCGGCCGCACUAGUUUCCUUGCUGCAAGCUCGCUCCUGCUUCAGAGACUUGGCAUCUAGCAUUCCUUCUGUCCGGAUUGCUUACCCACUUCCCUCAGUUCCCGCCUCAAAUAUUUCUCAAAACCUGUGCUAUGCCCUCUUCAUAAAUGAUCUCAUUUCGUCCUCAGCAAUCCUAUGAGGUGGGUACCAUGUUGGGUUAAGCGCCUAUGCAAUUGCCAGUAUUUGACCAUUUGGCUUACCGGAAAGCAACUUCCUAUUGUUCAACCUAAUAUUAUGCCUGUUUUACAGAGGAAGGAAUUGGGCCUUAAAUAAUUUGGCCAAGGUCACACUGUUAUCAAGCGGCAGGGACAGGAUUCAGUCUUAGACCUCUUUUAUCCUAAGGUCCACACCCUUAAUGUCUAACCAUUUGCCUCCCAGACCUUCCCUGUUUCUUUCUUGGAUUUUUGUCCUUCCAUUUGGUCAAGGAGCAUGACAUACCCUCUACGAAGCUGGGGUACCAAGAAACUGAAACACUAAUGUUCCCACUUGAAGAGCCUCGAGCCUUCCAGUCAACACAGAGGCUGCCUACCUGGAUCUUUCCUGUCUCCGCUAUCUGGCUCCAAGCCGCUCAUGACUGACAGCUGUGGGAAGAAUGGAUGAACUGGGGACAGAACCCGAACAAGGAAAACCAUUUCAGAGGCCAUCGCGUUCGCCCCGGUGAGAAAUGCUGUUCGCUUGGCCUGGCCUGUGCCGGUGGCCGUGGAGGGAGACAGAAAAGAACCAAUUCAAUAGGUAUUGUGGAUGUAUCUGUACCAGCUGGCAACCUGCCUCUGGGGGUGAGCUGAGCAGGUGCUCCAGGUGGUCUAUCCUACGGCCUCGGCCAUACAGCUAGUGGGCCAAAUGACUCUAAAGUCCUUCCCAGCUCGGUGAUUCUAUUGAUCUAGAACACCAACGACAUGGCUAUGGCUAUGGGUAGAAAUACGCACUGUUUGAUAGUUGUGACCCAUGCCCGUGCACGUGGUCAUAUUCGAGCCUCAUAGCAAUCCUGGGAGGUACAUAUUAUUUUUUCCACUUUAAAAAUUAGAAAAUUCAGGCCCAGGGAGUUUAAAUGAUGGAUCCAAACACUGACCAAAUCCAAUGGCUCUUGGGUUCAAAUGCAAGUCUUUUGACUCCAGAACCCACCUGUUUCUUCUAUCAUGAGAGUAGAUAAAUCUUCUGAGCAGAAGUGCCAAGGAGACCAUAAAGUUGAGACUAAUAAAAUCAAUGCUAUUAUUUUAAAAUAAAUAGAUAUCUGUAUUAUUAAACUGAUACAAGUGUAAUUAUAA